UAAAGAGGGGGCUAGCGUUAUUCGGAAUUAUUGGGCGUAAAGGGCGCGUAGGCGGCCAUGCGUGUCUUCCGUGAAAUCCCUCGGCUUAACUGAGGACGUGCGGAAGAAACUGCAAGGCUCGAGUCCGGGAGAGGGGGGUGGAAUUCCCAGUGUAGCGGUGAAAUGCGUAGAUAUUGGGAGGAACACCGGUGGCGAAGGCGGCCCCCUGGACCGGUACUGACGCUGAGGCGCGAAAGCGUGGGUAGCAAACGGG
rnacentral:rRNA from 1 species